rnacentral:lncRNA from 1 species
AUGCAGGGAAGCCCAGGCUCCCCACCCAUCCUCAUUGACUGCUGGACUUUAAGCCAAUCAAAAGCCUCCAGAGGACAGGGAAGCUCAAACCCCCAACAACCCUCCCCCAGAGACUAUACCAAGAGAUCUUCUGUUAAAGCUCCAAGAGGGGAGACUGAUAGAAGUCUCCAAAAAACAAAGAAAAUGAGAGGAACAAGAGCACAAACAAAUAUGGGGAGUAAAGAAGGGGUGAAUUUUAGCAAACAACAGAAAAAGAAGAAAGAAACUACAAUAGACAGCUACUACUCAGCAAAUGGAACAGAGGGGGAGAGAUCAGCAAAUGAUAAACCAGAAAUCCCAGCCAAUUGGAUACAGGCUGUGGAAGAACUCAAAACACAACUAAGAGAGGCUGAAGACAAUUGGGAAAAGGACUUAAAAAUUAAGAUAAGUCAUCUGGAAACAGAGGCACUUGAACUAAAACAAGAAAAUAGUGUCUUGAAAACCAAAAUCAACCAGCUGGAAAAUGAGGCAAAGGAGAUGAAAGAUGAGGCAAAGGAGAUGAAAGAUGAGGUAAAGAGGAUGAAAGACGAUCUUCAAAGAAAAUCAGACCAGAAGGAAAAAGACGACCAAAAAACCAGAGAUGAAAUCCAAUCUUUAAGAACCAGAAUACAACAACUAGAAUCAAGUGACCUCACAAGGAAGCAGGACACUAUAAAACAAUACAAAAAGAAUGAAAAAAUUGAGGAAAAUGUGAAACAUCUCAUUCACAAAACAGACGAUUUAGAAAAUCGUUCAAGAAGAGACAAUUUAAGAAAAAUUGGACUACCAGAAGAACACGACAAAAGAAAAAGCCUGGACAUAAUAUUAGAGGAAAAUAUCCAGGAAAACUGUCCCGAGAUCCUAGAACAAGAGGGGAAAGUGGAGAUUGAAAGAAUCCACAGAUCACCCCUUGUAUUUAAUCCCCAAUUGAUAACACCAAGAAAUGUUAUAGCCAAAUUCAAAAACAAUCAGAUGAAAGAAAAGAUAUUACAACCUGCCAAGAAGAAGCCAUUCAGAUACCAUGGAAACAUGGUGAGGUUAACACAGGAUCUGGCUGCAUCCACACUGAAGGACUGA